AGGAAUACUCCACUGAUAUGGGAAUGGAUCCGAGGCCUCCAGAAGGCUAACAUAGGCUCUCCUUUCCCUACUCCUGCUCAAUACGUCCUCGUCGUACAGAACGGUAACAUGCCUCUCAAUUAUCC
rnacentral:ribozyme from 1 species